rnacentral:lncRNA from 1 species
CAUUUUUAAAUCUAACCUUCACUUAAAAAAGCUCCAUGACACAAGUUUGAUUUUUUAUUAUACAUGUAACAUGUUCCAAUAAAAUGGUAUUUAUCUUCCAUUGCAGCAAUCUAUAAAUUUUAAAUGCAUGCACAAUUAAUACCAUAUACAUGUAUAUACAAAUAAAGAACAUUACAUUAUAAAAAGAGCCCUAUGCUUAUAAUAUAAGGGUACACUUUUUAAUCCACUGUUUAUACAUAUACAUGUAUAUGUCUCUUUAAUGAUCUUUCCCAGUGUGUAUUCUCAUAUGAACUUUCAGGUUCCAAUUCAAAGUGAAUUCCUUUUCACAAACAUUACAUUCAAAACCUUUCUCACCAGUGUGUUUUCUUAUGUGUAUUUUUAAUGAUUGACUGUGCCUAAAACUUUCACCACACACAUCACAUGUAUAACAUUUUUCACUACUAUGAAUUUUCAUGUGUAAUUUCAAAUUUCCACUUUGAAUAAAACCUUUACCACACAAAUCACAUUUAUAACAAUAAUCACCAGUAUGUAUUCUUUUGUGAACUUUUAAAUUGUUUGCAUGUUUAUAGUUCUUUCCACAUAUAUCACAUUUAUGAGGUUUUUCAUCACUAUGUACUUGUAAAUGUGAUAUCACAUGUUUCUUCUGACCAAAAUAUUUAUUACAAAUUUCACAUUUGUAAGGCUUUUCGCCUGUAUGUGUUCUGACAUGUGCUUUCAAGUGUGGUUUCUGCUGAAAAGCUUUUCCACACUCAUCACACUUGAAAGGUUUUUCCCCAUUGUGUAUUCUGGUGUGUAAUCGCAAAUUGUCAAUUCUUUUAAAUUUUGCAUCACAUACAUCACAUGUAUAGGGUUUAUUAUCAGUAUGUGUUUUUAAAUGUUCUUGUAAAUGAUGUCCGUGUCUAAAAUCUGUACCACAAACUUUACACUUGAAAGGUUUUUCACCUGUAUGUAUUCUCAUAUGUCCUACUAAGUAAUCAUUACGAGUAAACCUUUUACCACACAUUUUACACUCAUAUGGUUUGUCACCAGUAUGGGUUUUCAUAUGAGUUUUCAAAGUUUGGCCUGCUUUAAACACUUUAAAACAUAUAUCACAUUCAAAAGUAUUCCUUGUUUUAUCCGAAUGUAUUUUUUUAUGGUGUUGAAAGAUUUCUCUCCAAGCAAAUGUUUUGUUGCAAACAUCAUAUUUAUAAGGCCUUUCACCAGUAUGUAUUCUCUUAUGUGACUUUAAGUCAGAACCUUGAUUAAACUUUUUACCACAAAACUCACAUGAGUGAUGUUCAUCGCCUGAAUGUAAUCUCAUGUGGGUUUUUACAUCCGCUUUGCGAGAAAAACCCUUAUUGCAGACAUCACAUUCAAAGGGUUUCUUGCUUGAAUGUAUAAUCAUAUGAGCCUUUAAAGAAUUAUUUUGUGCAAAGUCUUUAUUGCAUAUAUCACAUUUAUAUGAUUUGUCACCUGUGUGCAUUUGCAUGUGUUUUCGUAAAUAAGCUCUCUGUUUUAAUUGUUUACCACACACUUCACAUGUGUAUAAAGGUCUUUCCUCACCAGCAUGCGUUCUCUUGUGUCUAGAUAAUGUACCACUAUCACUAAACUCUUUACCACAUACAUCACAUUUAUAUGGUUUCUCACCAAAAUGGACUCUCAUAUGCACCUUAAAAACAUUUCCAUAAUUAAAAUCUUUUCCACAUAUGUCACAGUUAUACGGUCGUUCGCCAUUGUGUAUUCUCAUGUGUGGUGGUAAACUAAUUUUGCUUCUAAACUCUUUAUUACAAAUUUCACAUUUGUAUGUUUUUUUCUUUUGAGUAUGAGUUUUCAAGUGUGUUUGAAAGUGGUCCUUUCGACAAUACUGUUUGUCACAUGAAAUGCAUUUGUAAAUUUUUUUUUCACUGUUUUGUGCCAUCAUAUAUGUUGUUACUAACACAACUUAUCAGUCAAUAUAGUGUAUCACUGACAUUGAUAAUGAUGUCAUAUACUCGACUAUAACAUCUGUUGUUGCCGUCAUUAAAAAACUCUGUGACUAUAUGAUGCAGUGUGUGUUGUGGACAUCUUUUCUCAUCUUCUUUUCAUCAAAAAGUUAUCAUUAGAAAAAUUUGUCUUCUUUUCCUGGUAGUGUCUAAUCUGCAGUAUCACUUAAGCAUUAACAGACUUGACAGUCAAAAGAAAACCUGUGAAAGAUAAAAUCAGAAUCAAAUAAAAAUAAAUA